ACUUCCAAUGGCUUGGUCAACUACAUAUGCGCCCAAUAAAAGGAAAAAAGGGGAGUGAGGGUAAAAACCCUUUGGCUUGGGCUAUAGUUUCCCUUUUCGUUGCUCGUUUUUUCAGCUCGGUUCCGUACAAUUUUCGUUCAAAUUUCCACAGCUCCCACUCCGUGCAGCACGCUGCAUUCACGUACGCGGUAAAUUGCAACUAAUUCAUAUAAAUUUAUACAUUUUAAAUAACUUUUAACUUAAACAAACCGGGAAGAAAUCGCACAACGCUGUGCAGAGAAAUUUUUUCUGCCUACUCCACAAAAAACUGUAAUGGCGUCGGCAAAAAUGCACGAGCGAGUGAAAUGGCAAUAUAUUGCCACUGAGUCAAUUGGCAACACUGGCCAAGGUCCGAUAUGUGCUAACCAGUGUUGGCAUUUUAGCUUAUUUCAAGCUAGAAUUUACAAAAUGCCAAAAGUGUUUUAUAAACAAAAUUUCCAUGAAAAUUUCUUUGAAUUUAAGGAGGGGCAACGCAACUGAUCCCACAAAAGCGUACUGCUGCUUUUGUAAGGCAACAAGAUGUGUUUUUAUGCUUAUAGUGACUCUCAAAAUCUGGCAGCACUGGUGCUAACCUUCGCAACACUUGAAAUCGGUUUUUCUUGUUGUUUUUGUUGACAAAUUGUUUUCUUUCUACCCAAAAUUGGUAUUGAGGCGAGAAAAAUAUGAAUAAAUCUGAACGUACCUGGUUUA
rnacentral:sRNA from 1 species